rnacentral:rRNA from 1 species
UACGUAGGGAGCAAGCGUUGUCCGGAAUCAUUGGGCGUAAAGCGCGCGUAGGUGGCCUCAUAAGUCCGCUGUGAAAGUCAAAGGCUCAACCUUUGAAAGCCGGUGGAUACUGUGAGGCUAGAGUACGGAAGAGGCGAGUGGAAUUCCUGGUGUAGCGGUGAAAUGCGCAGAUAUCAGGAGGAACACCAAUUGCGAAGGCAGCUCGCUGGGACGUAACUGACGCUGAGACGCGAAAGCGUGGGGAGCAAACAGG